UACGUAGGGUGCAAGCGUUUAAUCGGAAUUACUGGGCGUAAAGCGUGCGCAGGCGGCUAUGCAAGACAGAUGUGAAAUCCCCGGGCUCAACCUGGGAACUGCAUUUGUGACUGCAUAGCUAGAGUACGGUAGAGGGGGAUGGAAUUCCGCGUGUAGCAGUGAAAUGCGUAGAUAUGCGGAGGAACACCGAUGGCGAAGGCAAUCCCCUGGACCUGUACUGACGCUCAUGCACGAAAGCGUGGGGAGCAAACAGG
rnacentral:rRNA from 1 species